GGUUCCAAAUUUGAAGUAGAGUGGAUUGGUAGGAUCAGCUCACCAUACUAAUCUACUCUGCUUCAAGUUUGCGCCC
rnacentral:pre_miRNA from 1 species